AUGGCCGCCCUCGCCUACUCACUUUGUUCCUGGACCUCCUGCGCCUCGUCACCCGCGUCUAGCACCGCCAUGGAUUCGCACCAAGUCCUCAUCACCAGGCCGACCCCGUCCCCUUCUGUUCGUCUUGAGCGUCAAGCGCAGCUGCCUCCUCUGCCGACUUGCUCCCCGCCGAAUCCGGUGGCUCGUAGCACCACCGCCGCCGUCGCCUCAAGUCCCUGCCGCCGGUGCCGUGAAGUCCUGAUGAAGCCGCAGCUCCAUUUGGUGCCUCUGCCUAUGACCAACACCGUCGCGCCUCGAGCCCUUGUCGGUGAGCUACCGUACCAGCAGCAGGUCCGGGCUCCCCCAUGCCUCAUCUUCCUUCCGUCUCCCCGUCUCCCUUUUAUUCUCCUAAGUAUCUUCCUCUCUGAAACCUCCGUGCCACCAGUUUUCUUCAGGGAGUAG
rnacentral:rRNA from 1 species